rnacentral:rRNA from 1 species
GCAAGGACAUGUGGAGCGCUUAGAAGUGAGAAUGCCGGUGUGAGUAGCGAAAGACGGGUGAGAAUCCCGUCCACCGAUUGACUAAGGUUUCCAGAGGAAGGCUCGUCCGCUCUGGGUUAGUCGGGUCCUAAGCUGAGGCCGACAGGCGUAGGCGAUGGAUAACAGGUUGAUAUUCCUGUACCACCAUUAUUCGUUUUAAGCGAUGGGGGGACGCAGUAGGAUAGGCGAAGCGUGCUGUUGGAGUGCACGUCCAAGCAGUGAGAUUGAGUGUUAGGCAAAUCCGGCACUCUUAAGAUUGAGCUGUGAUGGGGAGAGGAACUUGUUCCUCGAGUCGUUGAUUUCACACUGCCGAGAAAAGCCUCUAGCUAGAAUAACGGUGCCCGUACCGCAAACCGACACAGGUAGUCAAGAUGAGAAUUCUAAGGUGAGCGAGCGAACUCUCGUUAAGGAACUCGGCAAAAUGACCCCGUAACUUCGGGAGAAGGGGUGCUCUUUGAGGUUCACGCUUCGAAGAGCCGCAGUGAAUAGGCCCAAGCGACUGUUUAUCAAAAACACAGGUCUCUGCU